AGUGAACGCUGGCGGUAGGCCUAACACAUGCAAGUCGAACGGCAGCACAGUAAGAGCUUGCUCUUACGGGUGGCGAGUGGCGGACGGGUGAGGAAUACAUCGGAAUCUACUUUUUCGUGGGGGAUAACGUAGGGAAACUUACGCUAAUACCGCAUACGACCUACGGGUGAAAGCAGGGGGUCUUCGGACCUUGCGCGAUUGAAUGAGCCGAUGUCGGAUUAGCUAGUUGGCGGGGUAAAGGCCCACCAAGGCGACGAUCCGUAGCUGGUCUGAGAGGAUGAUCAGCCACACUGGAACUGAGACACGGUCCAGACUCCUACGGGAGGCAGCAGUGGGGAAUAUUGGACAAUGGGCGCAAGCCUGAUCCAGCCAUACCGCGUGGGUGAAGAAGGCCUUCGGGUUGUAAAGCCCUUUUGUUGGGAAAGAAAAGCAGCAGGUUAAUACCCCGCUGUUCCGACGGUACCCAAAGAAUAAGCACCGGCUAACUUCGUG
rnacentral:rRNA from 1 species